ensembl:lncRNA
CCAGACCCUAUCAAGCUUGCUCCAUCUGGAUCAUUACAGUCAUGCCUGUGCACCAAACAAGUGUUCAGUGGAAAUCACACGUAUGAGAAGGAAGUCAAUGACCCUCCUGCUAAGGAGAGUAGCAGCCAACUGGCAGUCUCAUCAAGCCCAUCGCAGUUCCUUCUAAAAUUACAUAACCUGGGAAUACACGUACCACAGCAGUCAGUGCUGUGAACAGUGAUAAAUGAAUAUGCUGAACACUGGCUGUUGACUAACUGGAGAAUUACAGGUAAAAGCCCUUAUACUUGAGGUAAGAUGCAAUUUUCAAGGAUAAGCAUUAUGAACUAUUGUUCCUUUAGAAGUUAAGUGUGCAAAAUCACGGCUGAAGCAGUGAAACAGUGGGAAGAAAUUAAAAAGUA